UGUUUACCUCACUGUUCGGAUUUUCAUUUUGAAGAUGCGAAGCACUUGGCACAGCAGGGUGGUCUGCAGCAUUCAAAUCACUACUCCAACAUGACAGACACCCUUGCAGAAAGAGGUCACAGUUGAGCACUUUCAGGUGGAACCUACCUCGGCAAUGCAACACUUUUGGACACUACAUCGGCAUGUGCCUUUCCAUUUUGUUUUGCCCCUUCUCCCCUGGGAAGGAACUAAACCUGGAUAUCAGCAGUCAAGGUCAAGUGAGUGAGGGGCUGAACCCCCUCAUGGACCAGCUGAUGGAGCCAGUUUGUCACCCUUGAGCUGCCCCUGUGAGGCUUCCAGAAGUAUUACAGGGCUCUGUGAUGAAGCCUGUACCUUUUCUGUUUGAAGGUGCCAUCUGGGCAGCCUUUGGCAAUGGCUGAGGAGUUGUGGCGAGUC